UACCCUGCAGUCGAACGGUGAAGCCCCGCUUGCUGGGUGGAUCAGUGGCGAACGGGUGAGUAACACGUGAGCAACCUGCCCCUGACUCUGGGAUAAGCGCUGGAAACGGCGUCUAAUACUGGAUACGAGACGUGAUCGCAUGGUCAACGUUUGGAAAGAUUUUUCGGUUGGGGAUGGGCUCGCGGCCUAUCAGCUUGUUGGUGAGGUAAUGGCUCACCAAGGCGUCGACGGGUAGCCGGCCUGAGAGGGUGACCGGCCACACUGGGACUGAGACACGGCCCAGACUCCUACGGGAGGCAGCAGUGGGGAAUAUUGCACAAUGGGCGCAAGCCUGAUGCAGCAACGCCGCGUGAGGGAUGACGGCCUUCGGGUUGUAAACCUCUUUUAGCAGGGAAGAAGCGAGAGUGACGGUACCUGCAGAAAAAGCACCGGCUAACUACGUGCCAGCAGCCGCGGUAAUACGUAGGGUGCAAGCGUUAUCCGGAAUUAUUGGGCGUAAAGAGCUCGUAGGCGGUUUGUCGCGUCUGCUGUGAAAUCUGGGGGCUCAACCCCCAGCCUGCAGUGGGUACGGGCAGACUAGAGUGCGGUAGGGGAGAUUGGAAUUCCUGGUGUAGCGGUGGAAUGCGCAGAUAUCAGGAGGAACACCGAUGGCGAAGGCAGAUCUCUGGGCCGUAACUGACGCUGAGGAGCGAAAGGGUGGGGAGCAAACAGGCUUAGAUACCCUGGUAGUCCACCCCGUAAACGUUGGGAACUAGUUGUGGGGUCCAUUCCACGGAUUCCGUGACGCAGCUAACGCAUUAAGUUCCCCGCCUGGGGAGUACGGCCGCAAGGUAAAUAGG
rnacentral:rRNA from 1 species